GAUGAACGCUGGCGGCGUGCCUAAUACAUGCAAGUCGAGCGAAUGGAUUAAGAGCUUGCUCUUAUGAAGUUAGCGGCGGACGGGUGAGUAACACGUGGGUAACCUGCCCAUAAGACUGGGAUAACUCCGGGAAACCGGGGCUAAUACCAGAUAACAUUUUGAACCGCAUGGUUCGAAAUUGAAAGGCGGCUUCGGCUGUCACUUAUGGAUGGACCCGCGUCGCAUUAGCUAGUUGGUGAGGUAACGGCUCACCAAGGCAACGAUGCGACGCCGACCUGGGGGGGUGAUCGGCCACACUGGGACUGAGGCAAGGCCCAGACUCCUACGGGAGGCAGCAGUAGGGAAUCUUCCGCAAUGGACGAAAGUCUGACGGAGCAACGCCGCGUGAGUGAUGAAGGCUUUCGGGUCGUAAAACUCUGUUGUUAGGGAAGAACAAGUGCUAGUUGAAUAAGCUGGCACCUUGACGGUACCUAACCAGAAAGCCACGGCUAACUACGUGCCAGCCGCCGCGGUAA
rnacentral:rRNA from 1 species